rnacentral:rRNA from 1 species
AAAAACAUCGCCUCCUGCAAAAUUCAAAGUAUAGGAGGUCCCACCUGCCCAAUGACUCUGUUAAAUGGCCGCGGUAUUUUGACCGUGCUAAGGUAGCGCAAUCACUUGUCUUUUAAAUGAAGACCUGUAUGAAAGGUAUAACGAGGGCUUAACUGUCUCCCUUCUCCAGUCAAUGAAAUUGAUCUGCCCGUGCAGAAGCGGACAUGCAUAUACAAGACGAGAAGACCCUGUGGAGCUUAAGACUAUAAACCAACCAUGUCAAAAAUCCCUAUUAAGAGGAGAUUAAACAAAAUGUGUAACUGGCUAACGUCUUCGGUUGGGGCGACCACGGGGGAAAGAAAAGCCCCCAUGUGGAUUGGGAUUAUUCCUAAAACCAAGAGAAACACCUCUAAGUCACAGAACAUCUGACCAUUAUAGAUCCGGCCCACCGGCCGAUCAACGGACCAAGUUACCCCAGGGAUAACAGCGCAAUCCCCUUUGAGAGUCCAUAUCGACAAGAGGGUUUACGACCUCGAUGUUGGAUCAGGACAUCCUAAUGGUGCAGCCGCUAUUAAGGGUUCGUUUGUUCAACGAUUAAAGUCCUACGUGAUCUGAG